rnacentral:lncRNA from 1 species
AUCCCUGCGGAUUCCCCGAGCCAUCCUCUGCCAAGGACCUUGACCUAGCAGGGACUUGGUCGCUACGCUUAGCUCCCCCUGACCUGCUUCUGAACCCGCUAAUCCAACCCCAACUCUUUCCCCCCACGUUCGCUCCACGCGAUAAUUCCCACUGUCCCAGCAACCCCCACUCCCUCUCGGCACCACCAGGGCUCCACACCGGGUCCCCGACUUAGGCUCGAGCUCCCCACCAAAGCAAACGGCCUCAGCUACAAACACCUCUCCUCUUGGCUCCCCCUAAUUUAAUUCGUUUCUUAAAACAACAGCAGUACAAAUAUCAGUCUUUAACGGCAUCUGGCAAACUGGUGGUGAGGUGGAGCAGUGGUCGCCGCCAAGGCUGUCUGGCGACGAGAGCUCAGAAAGGAUAAGGCAGAAACUGGUGCCCGCCAAAGCCAGAAAGGCUGGAAGAAGCGCAGACCCAG